ensembl:lncRNA
AUCCAAUAGCAUGUUCCAGUCUCCGCACAUAGUGCCACGCUGACACUGAGACACAGAGUGCCUAGCCAUGGUACUAACUAUGGCAGAGUACGCCAGGAGGCUCACAUGUUACCUCUUCUGAACACUGAAACCCUGGAGACCAACACCAGCUGAGCUCGCUCGCUAACAGUUCCCGAGAGCGUGCUUGCACUGGGAAAUCCCUCCAACCACGUGACAAGCCCAAAGACAAGCCAGUGUGAAGACAGGAAGGGAAGUUUCUCAUCUGGAAAACAGGAAGAGAUGGGGCUCAUCGAGGCUCAGGAGGCAGAAUCGAAUGUUAAAGCUUGGGUUACCACCAACUCUAUUAUCAUUAGCAAGGCCACAGGAAACACGAGGACAUUAUACUGAGAGGAAAGAACACAAG